rnacentral:rRNA from 1 species
UACGUAGGGGGCGAGCGUUAUCCGGAUUUACUGGGCGUAAAGCGCGUUAAGGCGGCCGACAAAGUUGGUGGUGAAAUUUCAGGGCUCAACUCUGAAACUGCCUCCAAUACUGGUCGGCUUGAGUGCGAUAGAGGAAGGUGGAAUUCCCGGUGUAGUAGUGAAAUGCGUAGAUAUCAGGAAGAACACCCGUGGCUAAGGCGGCUCUCUAGUACGGUACUGACGCUGAGACGCGAAAGCGUGGGGAGCGAACAGG